rnacentral:ncRNA from 1 species
UAAUUUUAUUUUGGUUAAAUAUUUGAUUUAUAUAUUAUUUUACAUGUAAAUUUUUGUGAGAAUUUAAAUAUAUUUUAAAAAAAUAUUUUGUUAUAAUUUAUUCGCAGUGAUUAAUAUUAAAUAAAAAAGAAAUUUUGUUUUAGAAAUUAUAAAAAGUAUUGAUUAAAUUUGUGCCAGCUAUCGCGGUUAUACAAAUGAUGCAAGUUAAAUUUAUUAGUAUUAGUUAAAUUGUUUAUUCUAAAUAAAUAUAUAAAUAAAUUUAUUAGGUGAAAUUUUAAAUUUAUGAAUUUAUUUAAAAAGGAAUAAUUUAAGCUAUAAAAAUUUUGUUAUAAACUAGGAUUAGAUACCCUAUUAUUAAAAUUAAAUAUUAAAAUGCUAAAGUAGUAGUAGUUAUAUUCUUAAAAUUUAAAAAAUUUGGCGGUGUUUUAGUCUAUUUAGAGGAAUCUGUUCUGUAAUUGAUAGUCCACAUUGAACCUUACUUAAAUUUGUUUAAUUUGUAUAUCGUCGUCAUUAGAAUAUGUUAUAAGAUUUAAUUUUCUAGAUAUUGUAUUAAAUAAAAUGUCAGAUCAAGGUGCAGUUUAUGUUUAAGUAGAAAUGGAUUACAAUAAAUUUAUUUAAACGGAUAAUUUUUUGAAAUAAAAAUUUAAAGGUGGAUUUAAUAGUAAUAUAAAAUAGAUUAUUUAUAUGAUUUUAGCUCUAAAACAUGCACAUAUCGCCCAUCGUUCUUAUUAUAAAAUAAGAUAAGUUGUAACAUAGUUGGUGUACUGGAAAGUGUACCUAGAAAGAU